rnacentral:rRNA from 1 species
CGAUAACGAACGAGACCUUAACCUGCUAAAUAGCCAGGCCCGCUUCGGCGGGUCGCCGGCUUCUUAGAGGGACUAUCGGCUCAAGCCGAUGGAAGUUUGAGGCAAUAACAGGUCUGUGAUGCCCUUAGAUGUUCUGGGCCGCACGCGCGCUACACUGGCAGAGCCAACGAGUUCAUCACCUUGGCCGGAAGGUCUGGGUAAUCUUGUUAAACUCUGCCGUGCUGGGGAUAGGGCAUUGCAAUUAUUGCCCUUCAACGAGGAAUGCCUAGUAAGCGCAUGUCAUCAGCAUGCGUUGAUUACGUCCCUGCCCUUUGUACACACCGCCCGUCGCUACUACCGAUUGAAUGG